rnacentral:lncRNA from 1 species
ACCCAUCUCUCUAUCUCUCUUAUGCUUUGUGUAUCUUUUUUUUUGUUUACCCUUUUUGGCCACGAAUUGUAGUAAUACUUAUGAGAAAAUCAAUGAAACCUUCACAAACGUAAGUGUAAUCUUAGUAUCUAAUUGUUUUUUUUUUUUUAAUUCUAUUCUUGUUACUUGAAAUUAUUGAAUUUGGUUGCAAGCGCCUCCACACACCAACCCAAUGCUACUACACCAACAACAUAAUUGCCACCCAACAACUCUUACUCCCAAGUACAAUCCACUGCUUCUGGCUGCAAAGGGACCAAAAUAUGUCAACUUUGAUAUUUGUUCCUCGUAGUCUCAAGAAACUUGUUUAUUACCUUUGAUAAGAUCGCCGGUGUUGGUAGCUCCACCGAUGUGUUCAGAUUGCCUCGAGUAUGAGACAAGAUACAGCUGCAACUGGAGGAUAGUAAAUUUUGAGAGAGCGCUUCGAUUAUCAAAAUUACCCCUUCCCUUCAAUCACUACACUUUGGCUCUGUACAGAGACUAUAUCCCCUCUGCAAUUUCAUAAGGAGCUUAGUAAAUUGAGAGCUUCCAAGACACACCUUAACUCGACAACAACAUAACCGGCCUCUCUCGAUUUCUCAUUUUACAUCACAAACCCUCGGCAAAAUUGGAUCUCCCAAGAUCAUUAUCCUCAUCCUUUCAAGCCAUUAUCUAACCAGAAGGGCUAAAUCCCCUAAACCAAAGACAGACCAAACUAAAUUCGUUUCAGAAUCAAAUCUAGUGAAUCAAACCUAUUAAAUCAAAUCUACAACAUCGAAUUGCAUCACAAGUGAACAACUACGACAACUCUAGAACAGCGAGUAAAAAAUGAAGGAUCAAGACAGUACCACCACCAUGGCUGCGUUGCCGCCGGCCGGAUAAGUGAGAUAUUUCAGUGGCGAUCCGGACUAGGCCAGUUUUUGUCAACACUCUAAAGAACCUUCUACAAUAGCUAGAGGUUUUGAGAUGAAAUAAACAACGGCC